rnacentral:lncRNA from 1 species
AUGCUGAAGUUAGAGAGAGAACGACUUAGCAACCAGAUCACUGUGGCUGAUGAAACUUAUUCAAAAGAGAAACAAACUUUGGUAGAAAAAAUAGUUGAACUGAAGAGAAGAAAGGAACAAAAGGACAGAGAAGUCUCUGUAAAAGAAAUGGAGAUAUUACAAGCUAAGCAAGAACUGGAACAGCAACAAAUGUGCUUGAGUAAUAGACAACAGGCUAUUAUUGAGUUGAAAGGAAAGGUGAAGCAACAGGUGGAACUGCAGAAGGAAGUGAAGUUUCAGCUUUCUGAAAAGAGAAGGGAGUUCUUGAAAGUGCAGUCUGCUGUGCAUGAAAUAGAAAAUAAAAUCUUCAGGAAAACAGCAGCAAUGCAAGAACACAUUACUCAUGAACUACGGAAUGAGAUAUCUAUUCUUCAUCAACAAGUACGUGAGAGAGAGCUAUUAGCAGAACAGGAUCGGCUGUUAAGAAGCAAAAUGGUGGAUGAUUAUGCAACUUUGACCAAGGAGAAUGCCAUGAUGCAAUCCAGGCUCUUGGAACUUAACAAGCAAAGAGAGAUAGAGAGAGUACUCAAGGAGGAGAGCUAUACAGCCCUUUCUGCUGGUAUCAUGCAGUUCCUUGCAGUAAAAGAUCAUGAAAAUCAUCUGAAGGAAGAGAUUCAGAGGUACCAAGAACUCCUGGAGCAGGAAGAGAGUACCUUCCGAGACCUUCAAGAUAAGCUUGCUGAGAAAGAAAAUUUCCUACAGGCAUCCAUUAAGAUGUUGCAGCUGGAUGAAGCAAUGUCAGCAUUAAGAAUAAAACAUGCAUUUUGUUCAUCUAGUCCAUCAGAAAAAUGGGAUGAAAUCUCCAAAAUGACAAAGUCAAUGAAGAAUCUCAAAUAA